UACGGAGGGUGCUAGCGUUGUUCGGAAUCACUGGGCGUAAAGCGCGUGUAGGCGGCCCACUAAGUCUGAUGUGAAAGCCCGGGGCUCACCCCCGGAAGUGCAUUGGAAACUGGUGGACUCGAGUCCCGGAGAGGAGGGUGGAAUUCCUGGUGUAGCGGUGAAAUGCGUAGAUAUCAGGAGGAACACCAAUAGCGAAGGCAGCUCGCUGGGACGGUACUGACGCUAAGGCGCGAAAGCGUGGGGAGCGAACAGG
rnacentral:rRNA from 1 species